rnacentral:rRNA from 1 species
UACAGAGGUCUCAAGCGUUGUUCGGAUUCAUUGGGCGUAAAGGGUGCGUAGGCGGCGCGGUAAGUCGGGUGUGAAAUCUCGGAGCUUAACUCCGAAACUGCAUUUGAUACUGCGGUGCUUGAGGACUGGAGAGGAGACUGGAAUUUACGGUGUAGCAGUGAAAUGCGUAGAGAUCGUAAGGAAGACCAGUGGCGAAGGCGGGUCUCUGGGACGGUACUGACGCUGAGACGCGAAAGCGUGGGGAGCGAACAGG